rnacentral:lncRNA from 1 species
GUCAGGCUCAGGUCUCUUGACAGGAUACAUCCGGCAUCCGGGGAAACGUCGAGGGGUGGGGUGGAAUCUAUUUUGUGGCCUCAAGGGAGGUUUUGAGAGAUAGUCUUGCAAACGUGAUGGCCUAAGGAAGCCCCUCUGCCCAAGAAGCCAUAUUCAUUUGUAUCCUGUAGCCACCCACGAGGGAGAAUCCGGCUCUCUACAGACACCCCAACCCCCACCCCACCCCACCCCCUGCCUCGUGAAAUGAGCUCUCGCUCCAUCAGGCUCUAUUCACACCGUCUGGUUUUGUAACCUCCAGCGUGUGUGCAUGGGUUGCGGGGUGGGGUGGGGGCGGCUGUGGACAGAGAAGGGGAUAAAGCGGCGGUGUCCCAUGGGUGCCCGGGACGUGGGACAUGAGUAGAGUGGCCAGAGCCUAGUUAACUCAUCGCCUGUCAGGACGUCUCCCCUCCUGGUCCCCUCUCUGACCUACGCUCCACAUCUUAGCAGUUCAGUGGGGACCUUGUGGGUGGAAGUUGCCAACCCUUUGUACUUUAGCCGACGAAGACUGGGCUCCCAAGAGUCUCCCCGGAGUCGGGGCCUUGGGCAGGUUCACAAGGAUCCUGAUGGCGACGGUUGGUGAUGGUGAUGUAAGUUGGAAGCCUCGGACCAAAUCAGAGGUAUCCAUUUGACCUCGGUGGGACAGGUCAGCUUUGCGGAGUUCCGUGCGUCCUUCCAGAGAUUCAUCCAGCGCUAGCAAGCAUGGUCCCGAGGAUCCCAGCUCCCAGCAGAGGCAAUUUUGUUCACACAGAAUCCUGGGCAGGAAAGUUCUCAGCAGAUUUAGGCCUCCUAGCCAAAAAGUCAAAGCCACUUCUGGGAUUUUUUUUCAAAGAGCCAAUGGUUCCACAAUGGGCCAUGGGUAGUUGUGGAAAUGGAGAGACGUGUUUGCAGAUACAUAUUUGAGACAGAACGGACAGGGCUCGGUCACAGUUCAUGUAGGACACGAGCAGAUGCACAUUGAGAAAACCUUCCCAGCAUCCUAGGUGAACAGAGGUAUGAUUUUUUGAGACAGUCGAGGGAGACGCAACCCCAGAUUUUAGGGUUGGAUCUUUAUUAAUAUGUAGUAUCUAUGAGGAAUCCAAGUCCAGAAAUCAACUCGCCAGUUCUGUACAGCAUUCUGUAGGGAGAUCAAAUCUGGGAUGUCUAAAGUUAAGAAUUCAGGCCGUGGUAAUGGAUUAGAUUAGACGUACUUGAACUUAUUUUGCAAAGAAAGAGAGGGUGGGAGAUAGCGAGAGCCAGAGAGAAGGCGAGAGAGAGAGAGAGAGAGAGAGAGAGAGAGACAAAGACAGAGACAGAGAGAGACAGACAGAGAGACACAAAGAUACACAAAGAGAGAAAGACAGAAAGAGAGAGAGAGACAGACAGACAGGCAGAGAAAGGGAGUAAGACAGAAGACAGACACAGUGAGAGAGACAGACAGAGAGAGAGAGAAAUAGGCAGAGAGAGACAGAGAGAGAGAGAAGACGGAGAAAGAGAGACAGAGAGAGGAGGAGGAAGGGCGUGCUCAGGAAAUAAUUACACAUAUUUUAUAACGCUUUUGAUCCCAUAAACGGUGGCCGAGGUGUGCUUUGAAAACAACAACAACAACAGCAACAAGAGCAGCAGCAGCAGCAAGAGCAGCAGCAGCAUUCACUUACGGAUUUCUAGAACAUAAGAUGUUCUGAAGAGUAGUAAACAUCAACCGGCUCUCACUAUACGUUCAGAGAUUCACAAAAUCGUUAGUAAACAACAGGAGAAAACCGCAGCUUACAUGUCUUGGGGAAAAUAUACGUCUUCCUGAAAACUGGGGAUUUCUACUUCAUCUAAAAAGAAAUACAUAAGAAAAAGGAAAAACACGAACGAAACAAAACAAGCCAACAAACACGGGCCAAGGCACUGUCCCUGGAAAUCUUAAGUGAGCAAAGUAUUAGUUUUCAGAAAGCGUUUCUAUUUUGGACAAAUACUAAGAAGGCCCAGACUAGAGCUGUGACGUCAUUCCUAUUGUGAAACUAUGCUGGCCGGAGGGCGGAGAAACUAAAACAUCAUGAUAAAAGGUGAUUGAAACCCAGCCGGGGUGAAGGUUUCCUAGGGAGGGAGGCCUGAGGAAGGAAGCGGGGUAAAAAACCCACAACUGCAGACCCGCCCGCUUGCCGACGCGGGUCAAGGGCUAUGCCAUCGGCCCAAGCUGCCUCUGGGGAAGUGGGACCGUGCCACCCCCAUCUUCAAAAACGGUGGCCACUGAAUGACUGAGGAUUCCACAAAUGAAGGUCAGCAGUAUCUAUUGAGAUGUUUCUCCCUCUCAUGCGUCUCAUCUGUGUGGUGGAGAAAGGGAAGAAAAGAGGUUCUGAUGGGAAGUUGUCUUCAUGCCUGAGGAAGCUGAAGGCAGGCUGACGGGAAGGAGGGCAUCCUAUGUGACAUUUCCAUACCUGGGCACCCUUUACAAUGCUGGGGCUGCCAGUCCACCCUGUACGUCAACCCACCCCCAAGAACAGCAUGGUCCGGGGUGGUCCAGUCUCGUCCCAUCCAUCCGGCCCACCCGGGGCAUCUGGUGGAAGUUUUUGCUGGAGGAUUUGACACCUUGGAAUACUAUGCAG